UGGGUGAUGGAACGAGACUCCAUCUCAAAAAAAAAAAAAAAAAAAUGAGGUUCUCCUCUGGCUGCACCAUUUAUGAGCUGUGUGAACAUUAGUAAAUUAUUUCACUUUUCUGAGACCAAGUUUCUUCAUCACUAUCUACUUUGAGUGGUUUUUGUGAAGAUUAUACAUAAUAUAUGUAAGGCACCUAUAGAGUGCUGGCACAUGGUCAGUGCUCCACUAGUAACGGCUGGAUGAUAUUAUGGUUAUUCCUGUAACAUUUUGUGUUCCCAACCUGGACACCCACCCUGAUUCCUUAAUCUUUUUUUUUUUAAGAGGCGGGGUCUUGCUAUGUUGCCCAGGUUGGUCUUCAACUCCUGGCCUCAAGCCAUCCUCCUGCCUCAGCCUCCUGAGUAGCUGGGAUCACAGGUGCGAGCCACCACCUUGAUUCCUGAUUCCCUAAUUUUGAAUAAAAUGCAAUGGCUUGAAAUAGAAUUUGGGGAAAUUUGCCCCCAAAUUUAAUAUUGAAUUUCUAACAAACAACACAUUCCUCAAGUCUAUGAGGAUGCAUUUAUAGAUACAAAACCUUCUAUGACGCAAAUUAGAAAGGUAAUUUAGUAUUUGUAAUUUACUUGCUAUCAUGACCUGGUCUCAGACUAAGGAUAAUAUUUUAUGCUAGUUUUUAAUGCUAAAUGUAUUUUCCUAUUGUGAGUUCAAUUUGUUCCUCAAUUGCUCUUCUGUUUUUCUACUUUGUAUGUUACCAUACUAUGUCCAUUUUAAAACAUCACAUUCAGGGCAACAAAUAGGUGUUUUCCUGAAUUAAUUUGCCUAUAAAAACUAGGUACAGUGUGGUCUAGCACAAUGGGCAUUCAAAGAAUUCUUUUUUGGUUUCCAUGGACACUAUUGCUGACUUCAUUUCCCAGCCUCUUGCUAUAGUCUCUCACCUAAACUCUAAGAUAUGGAAAGAUAUUGGGAUCAGCAGGUUUGCCUAAAGGACCCACUGCAUUUAUGGAGAAACUGAAAAAUGAAAAAGUAGCUCCUAGAACUCGUGCCAGCGAGAACUUGGUAAAUGUUAGUUGAUUAAAUAUUAGUCAAGGAUGACAAGGUGGACCCCAGGGAGGGCAGAACCGUUUCCGAUGGGUCAGUGUGAUUCAGCUACGGGAAAGGCGAUCGCAGCGACGCGGGAAGCAGAGAUCGGCGACUGCUCAAGAGGCCUCAGGGGACAGGGUGACUCGCCACUGUGCCCUACCAUACAGUGCGCUCUGGGAGUCCCGGGUAAAGGGGGUCAUUCCCGCGAGGGAUGCGGAGAGCAGAGCGGCCGGAGGAGCGGCUAGGGAUCUCGCCGGGUCACCGGGGAGGGUAGACUACGUAGCCCCGAGAGCUUUGAGAACUUGGGCUGAAGGCGGCGCUCGCCGUGAGAACUGACGCGGAGGUGCAGCUUUGCAGCCCUACAGAUGUUCUACCGCGUGUGCCUGGCGCUACCGCACGGGCUGACUCAGCUAGGCAGAGGCGGAGGCGGGCGCGCGGGAGACAGAACUAUCCGCGGCGCCUGCCCGUGUACCCGGCUACCGCGCGCACGCGGGGAGACACCGCCCCGUUUGCCUUCUGGCUCCCGGUGAUUGGCGGUUAGACGAUGGCUGGGGAGCAGGGUCACGGACACUAUUGGCUGCAAACAACAGUCACUCAAAAAGUCAGGUAGGGGAGGGGCCUCCUCAGGGAGGGACAAGACUGUGAGGCUUUUUCAAGGCCGUCAGACGCCAUCUUUAGCUUGUUUUUGUUUACUUGCUUUUGUUCUCUGCUGCUCACAAACCUGUGUGUACACGAUUAUAAGCACAGUGGCCACAAAUCGGCGUCACACGUUGGGUGGUGGCCGACUUUUAGUUACUGCUGGCCUCGGUUACAUUUCUUUCACAUGUCACCUGCAAAUUAGCAGCUCCUCACAGUUCAAAGAAGUUUCCAAUACUAGGGGCCCCGAGGAUUCCCAGGCAAAAUCAACAGAGUUUAGUUUUGCUUUGCUUUGGAAGGCCAAGCCAACGAUAUAUAUGUGCGAGGAAUUCUCUCCUUUCUUAGGAAGAAAAAGCAAGAACAGUGGAUAUGACCCUACGUUCCUGGAUGUAGAAAUCAAAUAGCCUAGGAAAUCAGGGAUACGGGCUCUGCACUGUUCAGGGAGAGCUCUCCCUAUUUUUUGAGACGCUAAAAAGUAAGGUAAAAAGUAUAUGUGAUGACCUGUAGUGAUGUGGAAAAGAGCUAAAAAGGGUAAAACUCCAUUAAAAAUUCCCGUAACUGGCCGGGCGCGGUGGCUCACGCCUGUAAUCCCAGCACUUUGAGAGGCAGAGGCGGGCGGAUCACCUAAAGUCAGGAGUUGGAGACCAGCCUGACCAACAUGGUGAAACCCCGUCUCUACUAAAAAUACAAAAAUCAGCCCGGCAUGGUGGCACAUGCCUGUAAUCCCAGCUACUCGGGAGGCCGAGACAGGAGAAUCGCUUGAACCCAGGAGGCGAAGGUUGCAGUGAGCCAAGAUCGCACCAUUGCCACUGCAGCCUGGGCAACAAGAGCGAAACUCCGUUUCAAAAAAAAAAAAAAAAAAAAAAAAAACUCCCAUCACUGUUGUGAUCACAAAGAUCACUAAAAUGUGACUAGAUUUCAAAGAAAUGCAGGUCUGAAAUUGUGGAAUAAUCCACAGUCGAGCCAGUAUUUAUUAAGCACUGGUCUGACUUGAAUUGUUAGAGAAUAAAAAUACACUCAGCACAAGUAAGAAACCCAGAAAGCCCAAACAGGGCCACUUUUGUUAUAAAUUUGUACAAGUAACUUUAUUGCAGUCAGUAUUUAGGAGUCAAAUACUGCUUGAAAUAGAGUAGGAUGCUAGCUGUGUAAUAGAAAUGCAUUAUUAUACAGAAGUUUUGUUGUAAUGAAAUUUAAAUUCUACAGUAGAUUUUUUUUUUUGUCUCCUGGUUGUCACUGCAUUUGUGACAUUCCAGUUUCUCCCUCAGCACCUCAUAUACCUCCUAUGCUUUCACUCCAAUCUGCGAAUACAAAUUUGGAUACAGAUAUUUUCCAUACAACUUCUAAUGAGGAGAUAGUGAUUCUGUAACAGAAUGAAGUGAAAAUAGGGCUCCUAUAACAGGAGGUUCUGCUCUGCGAGCCUGUUUUUCUCUAAUUCAUAUACUUUUUUCUGUGACUCUUAGAAAUGAGAAGCUUUCCAUUCUAAAAAUGCAACAUGAUAACCAAAAGGCAUUUCUUAUCCCUUCUAUUAUUUGCCUUUGCAUCCUCUUGGCUCCCCAUCACCAUCACCAUGAACAGUUUUUGAGAAUUACACUUGACUGGAUUUUUUUCCUGAUACUUUGCCAGCUGUGGAGCUUUUCGAAUAUUCCAACCAAUAAACGACCAUUUUGUCAAAAA